GUACUUAGUUUGGCAGCACAUUUACUAAAGUUAGAACUAUAAAGAGAAGAUUAGCAUGGUCUUUGUGCAAGGAUUACAUAAAAAUUCAUGGAAUGUUCCAUAUUUUU